UUGAACGCUGGCGGCAGGCCUAACACAUGCAAGUCGAACGGUAACAGGAAACAGCUUGCUGUUUCGCUGACGAGUGGCGGACGGGUGAGUAAUGUCUGGGAAACUGCCUGAUGGAGGGGGAUAACUACUGGAAACGGUAGCUAAUACCGCAUAACGUCGCAAGACCAAAGAGGGGGACCUUCGGGCCUCUUGCCAUCGGAUGUGCCCAGAUGGGAUUAGCUAGUAGGUGGGGUAAAGGCUCACCUAGGCGACGAUCCCUAGCUGGUCUGAGAGGAUGACCAGCCACACUGGAACUGAGACACGGUCCAGACUCCUACGGGAGGCAGCAGUGGGGAAUAUUGCACAAUGGGCGCAAGCCUGAUGCAGCCAUGCCGCGUGUAUGAAGAAGGCCUUCGGGUUGUAAAGUACUUUCAGCGGGGAGGAAGGGAGUAAAGUUAAUACCUUUGCUCAUUGACGUUACCCGCAGAAGAAGCACCGGCUAACUCCGUGCCAGCAGCCGCGGUAAUACGGAGGGUGCAAGCGUUAAUCGGAAUUACUGGGCGUAAAGCGCACGCAGGCGGUUUGUUAAGUCAGAUGUGAAAUCCCCGGGCUCAACCUGGGAACUGCAUCUGAUACUGGCAAGCUUGAGUCUCGUAGAGGGGGGUAGAAUUCCAGGUGUAGCGGUGAAAUGCGUAGAGAUCUGGAGGAAUACCGGUGGCGAAGGCGGCCCCCUGGACGAAGACUGACGCUCAGGUGCGAAAGCGUGGGGAGCAAACAAGAUUAGAUACCCUGGUAGUCCACGCCGUAAACGAUGUCGACUUGGAGGUUGUGCCCUUGAGGCGUGGCUUCCGGAGCUAACGCGUUAAGUCGACCGCCUGGGGAGUACGGCCGCAAGGUUAAAACUCAAAUGAAUUGACGGGGGCCCGCACAAGCGGUGGAGCAUGUGGUUUAAUUCGAUGCAACGCGAAGAACCUUACCUGGUCUUGACAUCCACGGAAGUUUUCAGAGAUGAGAAUGUGCCUUCGGGAACCGUGAGACAGGUGCUGCAUGGCUGUCGUCAGCUCGUGUUGUGAAAUGUUGGGUUAAGUCCCGCAACGAGCGCAACCCUUAUCCUUUGUUGCCAGCGGUCCGGCCGGGAACUCAAAGGAGACUGCCAGUGAUAAACUGGAGGAAGGUGGGGAUGACGUCAAGUCAUCAUGGCCCUUACGACCAGGGCUACACACGUGCUACAAUGGCGCAUACAAAGAGAAGCGACCUCGCGAGAGCAAGCGGACCUCAUAAAGUGCGUCGUAGUCCGGAUUGGAGUCUGCAACUCGACUCCAUGAAGUCGGAAUCGCUAGUAAUCGUGGAUCAGAAUGCCACGGUGAAUACGUUCCCGGGCCUUGUACACACCGCCCGUCACACCAUGGGAGUGGGUUGCAAAAGAAGUAGGUAGCUUAACCUUCGGGAGGGCGCUUACCACUUUGUGAUUCAUGACUGGGGUG
rnacentral:rRNA from 1 species